UAUUUAUUUAUUUAUUUUUUUUCUUUUUUUUCUCUUUUUCUUUUUUAAACUCCCCCUCUCCCCUCCUCCUCACUCCUGCCCCCACCCUACAACUUCUUCCCCUCACACCGCCUUUCCCCGGGAAGCCAAGAUGGCCGCCGGUGCCGACGCCCCGGCCAGGCCAGGCCUAGGCCUCGAGCGCUCCCCCUUCCGGCUCCGAGCGGGCGGGGCGAAAGAGCAUGCGCAGUGAGGAGCGCCGCCGGCUGCCGCUCCCAUUCCGAAGAACAUCACCGUGGUGAUGCUGUCUGGACUCUGGGUGCUCUAUAGCACCACCUUGGGGGCAGUCUGGACUCUGGGUGCUGGAGGAAUUAAAGAUCAUGGGACCUAGGCAAGUGGAAAAUAAUUCUCUCUUGUUCUCCCACCCCUGACACCCA
rnacentral:lncRNA from 1 species